CGCUUUUUGUAAAUAUAAAAAGUCUUACCUGCCCAGUGUAAAUAAUAAAAUAAACGGCCGCAGUAUCCUGACUGUGCUAAGGUAGCAUAAUGAUUUGCCCCUUAAUUAGUGGAUGGAAUGAAUGGUUGGACGAAAGCAUAGCUGUUUCUAAUAUAUUAUACAUAAUUUAUCUUUUAGGUUAAAAUUCCUAAAUUUUAUUGAGGGACGAGAAGACCCUAUUGAAUUUUAAAAAAAUGUCAUAAUAGGAUCUUAUUAUCAUAAAUCUUCUUAUUUGCAACAAUUUUGGUUGGGGCAACCUAGGAACAAGAAAAGCUUCCUAUUUAAUAAAAUAAUAGCUAUUUUGGAUCCAGCAAUAAUGUUGAUAAAAGGAAUUAAUUACCAUAGGGAUAACAGCGUAAUUUCUCUUGAGAGAUCUAAUCGAAAGAGAAGCUUGCGACCUCGAUGUUGGAUUAGAGUAUUUAAAGAGUUGUAGGAGCUCUUAAAAUUGGUCUGUUCGACCAUUAAAAUUCU
rnacentral:rRNA from 1 species